CACGCGUGCUACUAUGACUCCGCGAUGGUCGGCUUCUCUCUAACCUACGUGUAAUUUUCUUCAAUGUAAUGGAAAACUAUGUAUGGUUUUUUAACAGUUAAUUUUUUCCAGGCAGACUUUUUAUUCUAAAUGUUUGAGCAUUUCGCGCUGGUUCGCAAAGUGUCGGCUUUAUAAUUCUAAUGUAUAUAGUCUGAGUAAUAAUUGUGAUACUUAUUUUUGGAGUUGCACCGUCAGCAUUUCGGAGCAGGUAUCUAGUGACGUUUCAAGGUCACGCAGCAAAGUUUUGUGUUAUCUUUUGGGCAAACACGUGUGUGGGCACGUAAGUCGUUUAUUUUGACACAUCCGCCAUCAACUACAUUCCGAAAUCGGAAGGCACGCAAUCGUUUGUAUACAAAAAUCCUGAGCUUACGUAAAGUCAUUGCUUUUGGCUGAUUGCCAAGGUCGACAAACAAAGAGUCACAACCGAUGCAAAGAAAAAAAAAACUAGUUGAUUUUUAGAAUGUAUUGUGCUACAUAAAGUCCGUUAAGUUCUUGCGAGUGAAUUUGCAGUCUCAAAAUAGACAUUCAUCUG